GACGAACGCUGGCGGCGUGCUUAACACAUGCAAGUCGAACGGUGAAGCUCCAGCUUGCUGGAGUGGAUCAGUGGCGAACGGGUGAGUAACACGUGAGCAACCUGCCCCUGACUCUGGAAUAAGCGCUGGAAACGGCGUCUAAUACUGGAUACGAGAAGGGUCCGCAUGGGCACUUUCUGGAAAGUUUUUCGGUUGGGGAUGGGCUCGCGGCCUAUCAGCUUGUUGGUGAGGUAAGGCUCACCAAGGCGACGACGGGUAGCCGGCCUGAGAGGGCGACCGGCCACACUGGGACUGAGACACGGCCCAGACUCCUACGGGAGGCAGCAGUGGGGAAUAUUGCACAAUGGGCGAAAGCCUGAUGCAGCGACGCCGCGUGAGGGAUGACGGCCUUCGGGUUGUAAACCUCUUUCAGCAGGGAAGAAGCGAAAGUGACGGUACCUGCAGAAGAAGCACCGGCUAACUACGUG
rnacentral:rRNA from 1 species